GAAGGCAGCAGCAGUAGUGAGGCUGUGCAGGU
rnacentral:SRP_RNA from 1 species